rnacentral:lncRNA from 1 species
UACCCAGCUGAUCCUUCUGCCAUAUACCAAUCUUUCACACACAGGAUGUUUAUGCAGAAGGCAGGAAUCUUACAUGGGGAGGUUUCAUCCUCACGGAAACAAUGACUCUAUCACUAGUCAGAACACUAAUUCACUUGCACCACGUCAUCCCAAGAAAGUUUUAUUUCACUAACAAAGUCUAAAGACAAAGAGAUCAAAGAAAUCUAAAUAGUGUGUUAGUGUUCACUAGUCUAAAACUUGGAGAUCUUGGUUCAGGAUUGCUUCCCAGCAAAUUUUAGAUUUCUAUGUAGGCUAAUCUCCAUUCAGGCUCAGAUAGGCUAAUACUUUUUUUUCUCCCAUAGGAGGACAGAUGUGAGAACAUCUUAGCCAAGUCCUUCAAAUUUAUCAAAAGAAUAUUGCUGAAAAAUACAUUAUUCAGCUGUUGAUUCAGAAAACUUAGUUUUGCAAACUAUUCCAUGUUGGCCAUGUUACCAGUGGCUCUGGUGAGAAUGACUGUAACAUCUGCUCUAAGCUAAACUAUAAAGUAACUUUGUCACCCUGUCCUUUAACUAGACAGCUGAGGCUUUAAGGGGUGAUGUCUAAGGUCUGCCCCAUCAGCUGAAAGAGUGAGCAAAUCUAAGAAGGUUCACCAUGUAUGAAAACAUGUGGAAGCAAGAGGAAUAACAGAAGGCACCGAUGUGUCUGAAAUACACCACCUGAAAGAUGCCACCCCUCCAUUUGCCAAGUCCAGCCCUUAAUGACUUUCUUGCUAAGAAAGUUGCAGGGGAAAAGAACGGGGUCAGUCUGCCCUAAAACUCACUAAAAGGAGAGUUGAGGGAAAUGUUUGCUGGACUGAGAGGCCCAAAGCAUUUAAGAUGUACGAAAUGGAAAGUUGAGGUCAGAGAAUUGAAUUCCCUGAACUUUUCUAGCACCCACUCUCUAGGGAAUUUCUGAGAAAAGCAAAAGUCAAUUUCCCAACUGCUUCAUUCAGAGGUUAGGGAACCUAUCUCUCAUUAAUCCAAUUAUAAAACAGGGACUUCUACUUCCUCACUCAUGAUUAACCCCCUCACAUUCUGGCAUCCGUGGGUUUCCCUCUCCAUUCUCAAGUAAGUGACAGAGGAGAAUCUAACAUCCCAUCACCCCCUGUCCCCACCACAGACAUACUCAAGGGGCCCUUGGUGACUUCUUCUGCCCUCGUGCCUCAUUGGACCAAUGAUGUUGGUGAAUUCCAGGAAGACUCUAACUAAGUGGACCUGGACCACUUCACAGAUGAACUUUGGACAUGUCACCUGAAUCACAGCAUGCUAGACAUGUAAUUUACCCCUGUAUUAGUGAAUAUUGUAGACGUUCAUUUUAUUCAUAUCUCCUUGUUUAGAAUGUCACUGCCUGCAGAAUAAUAAUUUUUUUGUCCUUACUGAAAAUGAAAUGUUGUAUGUGUCUAUAAAACCUAGUGAAUUAUCAUGAACAAAUAGCUUUAAAAGCAUGUAUUCAUUCUCUCUCUCUCUCUCUCUCACACACACACACACGCACACACACAUGAACUUUUACUUCCUCCCUCAUGAUUAGCCCCCUCAAAUUCAUCCUGUCCAGUUCAUCCAGUUUAAAGAUGAGAAAACAGCCAAAGAGGAAAAAUUAGUUGUACUCGUAUCUUGCUAAACCAAUUCUCUCUUAACACCUACCGUAAGAGCCGUCCAACUGCUUGUUCUUAAAGUUCUAAGCAUUUAACCACAAAUUCUUAACAUGUGGUUUUCACAUGUAGGGGCUUCAGAAAGGCUCAAGUUGACUAUGUCCACUUCUAGACAUAGUUUCCUAAGCAACAGCACAUUACAUUUGUGUUGGGCAUUAUCAUAUCUUUCAACUUUUCCAAUACCUCACAUACAGUCAAAGUAACACUCUAUUAGAGUAACUAGUAUUCCUGUUUGAUGGAUUAGGUAACUGAGGCUCAGAAGAAUUAAGAGAAUGGUUCAAACCUAUGAAACUAAUAAAUUGUCCAGUCGGGUCAAAUGACAAGGUGUUCCAGUACCUCCCCACUCAGAAUCUUUGACCGGCAGCUGAUGUCUUUUUAGGAAGCAAACAAGCCAGUGGAAAGUUGAAUGAAGUUUCCCCACUCCCAC